CUCUAUUGGUAGUAUAUAGGAGGUUCUGUAGUAUUUCAAGUGUUACUAAAAUAAAUUCACUCAAAUUAUAACCACAUGUAAGAGCAAAUCAAAAUAUUGCGUUGUAAAACAAUUAAUAAUUUCAAAUAUAUUCAUUUGCAUAGCUUCAUGUUGUCUUCAUAAAUAAUAAUCUUGCUCCUGGCUAAAAGUACGUCUAUUAAAUUCAUCCGUGAUUAAGUGAUUUCAUCUAACACAACCAAUGCCUCGAGAACCAAUGAGUUUAUUAAUCAGUGGUUAAAUUUUAUAAAUUCACUAAAAACUUGCCAAUCUGUGCUAAGUAUGUAAGUUGAACAACUUGGAAGUAGCUUUCAAUACAAUUCAUUAGUCAUCAUGUAUUACCGGUACCCAAAACCUGAAGAGUCUCAAGAACUCAUGAUCACAGUAAACAUUUUUGAAUUGUUUUCCGUUUGAGUUUCUGUUCUUGAAUAUAUAUAUUCCAUCUGAUACAAGACUGACUUAAUUUAGCAAAAAGCAAAAACGGCGUUCUUUGUUGAAAUAAGUUGUAAAAUAAUGCGACUUUUACCAAAACCUCAUAAACUCUUUCAAUGAAAAACCUCAAGUUUCUAUCGUUUUAAAGAAUGAAACAACUUUUAAUCAUGUGGUUAGACAAUUAUAACAUCCCAAAAUUGUUCAACAGUCUUGUUAAAUAAACCAGUGUUGAUUUAUUUUGUCUAGAAUCAGCGCUUAAACCUAGUGCUGAAAACGCCGUUAGAUGGUGCCACCUGUAUUUUUCUUCUUCCGUUCAUUUCCAUAGCAUACACAUUUCACUGGUAUGCAUCAGAUAUUUUUCAGGGCUUUCUAUUUGUUUGUUUUUUUACAAUUUUUACAUUCAGUUUUAUUGUUUUGUUCAUUUUUGUUUGCUUUUCAUUUGGUUUUAGGUGAUGGAAAAAUUUGAUUUUUCUAGUAGUGUGGAGACUCUGAACCCAUCAGAUGUGGCUAAUGUAGUGGUAUCUGCCCUCAAGCAGCCAUUUUCAUGUUCAAUAUUGAAGUAAUCAACAGGCACCUACUCAAUAUUUCACUUCUAUUGGCACAUUAUUCAUAACAAUACUAUACUAGUGAUUUCCACCAAGGAUCUAUUAUCAUAAUAUUAGUCUUAUGUCCAAAGUGAAGUAGGUACUCCUUUUUGUAGGAACCAAUAAUCUUGUAAUCGAAUAAUAACAUUAGACUUUUUCAUAGAUUUUCUACUUUUCUAUUGGAAUGAUUAAUUUUUUGAUUGUUACAUGUGCAGGCCUUUAAAUAUUUUCAAUUAUAUUUUUUGUUUUGAUUGAUGUGAAUCACAAAUUGUUGUGUAGACUUGAGUAUUGUAGAAGUGGAGGUAAAAUUUGUUGAAAUAUAUUACCUGCUCAAUAUUCCAUAAUAAAUGAAUUCUUGAUAUUAUAAGGGAGUAUUACAAUAUAACAUAGACUACUGAAAAUCGUAAUAUCAUAUUUUAUUUUCUAAAUAAAAAUAUCAAAAUUAGUAUUGUAGUUGAAAAUAAAAUCAACAAAAAUGUUAGUAACUUACAGUGACACAAUUUGGAUUUUUCUUGAUUUUACUUUUUAUCGGUUAUUUAUUUUUUUCAAUAUUAUUAAUGCAUAUUUUAUAAUUUGCUACCGUAUUUCCAAUUACUUCCUAUUCUAAUUUGGUUGUCUUAGUUUGAAUUUUAAAUUGUUGAUUAUAAUUUUGUAGAAGUAGUGGUAGAAUUUGUUGGAAUCUCAGACAUGUUUGAUUUUUCAUGAUGACAUAAUUCUUAGUAAGUUGACGUAUUCCUUCAAGAUUGAACUCUAUAAUCCUCAAAUAAAAUGUGAUCUUUUUUAUAAUUUUGUUUUAUCAUUUGUCAUACCUCUUAUCGUUUUUCAUUCGCAAUUAACUUAUUUUGGCUUCCAUUUUUUCCCAUUUAAUUUUGUUGUACAGUAUUUAUUUGAAUUGUAGAAUAGUAAUUGUAGCUAUGUUGAUCAUUAUUUAGUAUGUGUAGAAUUCAUUAGAAUCGCGGACUAUCUAUUAUUAUAGUGAGGUCCACGUUAUAAUGGCAGUGAAGAAAGAUGAGAGAACGUGUUUGCCGAUUCUCUAUAGUUUGACCUUACUAUUGUAGUUUUUCCACUUUCAGGAUCAUAAGUUUAAUUUAAUUUUAUUAAAGUUGAAAACAUUUCCCUAUAGCUUUAUUGAAACAUCGCGAGAGGUGUCUUCCGUCGUGUGUAAGGUGUAGAUGGUUGAGUCACGAGAAAAAGCUUGGAAUUGCCGCAGCCUGAUAUGGGGACCAAGUUUCUUGUCGUGACUGAAUAAUCUUUACUACUACUGUGCCUCAACAGUAUUGAAAAAUUAUGAAUUUUAUUUGAGAAAGUGACUUAUUGCUUGUUUUCAAGGAUAAAAUAAUGUGUAAAAAGGGAAACAUAAUAAUUUUUGAAUGAGAACAGUCGAUGGUUCUUGAGAAAUCAUUAUUAGAGGUAAUUAUUCAAAUUAUUUACUUAACCUUGACAAUAAUUGGCUCUCACAAUUAAAGUGUUCUAAAAUAGAUACUCAUUGGUGAUUGUUAUAACCAUAUUAAUCCAUGUGGAGUAUAGGGCACAGUGAGUAUUUAGCCUAUAGGUGCAGCCUAUCUGUGUCGCUUCCCGCGUCGUGGCAAGGCAUUACAACUCUGGAGCAGGCGUCAACAGACGGCAGUCAAAUGAGCUGCCUUGUCACAAACCUCCCAUCUCAUUUUGGGCAGAAGGUAAUCCUUAUUACGUUCAUUGAGAACGGAUUGAAACUGUGCGUGUGGGAAAUUACAAUUCCAAGCUGAAAUUUGUCAACCAACUGAUGAGGAUGGUUAUUAAAAUGUCCAGCUAUACUUUUGGGAAACACUUUCGUAUUUUCCAUAAAUAGUCCAGUCAAAUGGUCAUUUUCUAGGAAGCAGACCUGACAUUUUUUUUCAACGGUGUGUUUUGGUGCACUGAAUUCGAAUCUGAAAUUUGCUGGCAUGCCAGAGGGCGGCUCACUC